rnacentral:rRNA from 1 species
AUGAAGCUGGAAUCGCUAGUAAUCGCGAAUCAGAAUGUCGCGGUGAAUACGUUCCCGGGUCUUGUACACACCGCCCGUCACACCAUGGGAGUCGGAGAUACCCGAAGCCUGUGAGCUUAACUUUUUAAGAGGCAGCAGUCGAAGGUAGAAUCAAUGAUUGGGGUGAAGUCGUAACAAGGUACC